rnacentral:rRNA from 1 species
CGCUGCCUACGGGAGGCAGCAGUGAGGAAUAUUGGUCAAUGGUCGGGAGACUGAACCAGCCAUGCCGCGUGAGGGAUGAAGGUACAGAGUAUCGUAAACCUCUUUUGUCAGGGAACAAAGGCGGGGACGCGUCCCCGGAUGAGUGUACCUGAAGAAAAAGCAUCGGCUAACUCCGUGCCAGCAGCCGCGGUAAUACGGAGGCUGCGAGCGUUAUCCGGCUUUAUUGGGUU